AGAUUAAGUUAUUAAGGGCGCACGGUGGAUGCCUUGGCACUAGAAGCCGAUGAAGGACGUUACUAACGACGAUAUGCUUUGGGGAGCUGUAAGUAAGCUUUGAUCCAGAGAUUUCCGAAUGGGGAAACCCAGCAUGAGUUAUGUCAUGUUAUCGAUAUGUGAAUACAUAGCAUAUCAGAAGGCACACCCGGAGAACUGAAACAUCUUAGUACCCGGAGGAAGAGAAAGAAAAUUCGAUUCCCUUAGUAGCGGCGAGCGAAACGGGAAGAGCCCA
rnacentral:rRNA from 1 species